rnacentral:misc_RNA from 1 species
GUGAACGCCCUCACGGGCUUAUAACUAUUCCAAACCUCUGUGAACCGUGCCCUUCGGGGCUAUUUUACAAACAUGGUGUAAUGAACGUCAUAUAUCAUGACAAAACA